GAUCAUGGCUCAGGAUGAACGCUGGCGGCGUGCCUAAUACAUGCAAGUCGAACGAAUCUUCUUCGGAAGAUGAGUGGCGAACGGGUGAGUAAUACAUAGGUAACCUGCCCCUGUGCGGGGGAUAACAGGAGGAAACUCCUGCUAAUACCGCAUAGCCAUGAGCACCGCAUGGAGCUCAUGCCAAAUAUCCUUUCGGGGAUAGCGCAGGGAUGGACCUAUGGCGCA
rnacentral:rRNA from 1 species